AUUGAACGCUGGCGGCAUGCCUUACACAUGCAAGUCGAACGGUAGAGGGGCAACCCUCGAGAGUGGCGAACGGGUGAGUAAUGCAUCGGAACGUGCCCAGUAGUGGGGGAUAGCCCGGCGAAAGCCGGAUUAAUACCGCAUACGACCUCAGGGUGAAAGCGGGGGACUCGCAAGAGCCUCGCGCUAUUGGAGCGGCCGAUGUCAGAUUAGGUAGUUGGUUGGGUAAAGGCCCACCAAGCCGACGAUCUGUAGCUGGUCUGAGAGGACGACCAGCCACACUGGGACUGAGACACGGCCCAGACUCCUACGGGAGGCAGCAGUGGGGAAUUUUGGACAAUGGACGAAAGUCUGAUCCAGCCAUGCCGCGUGCGGGAAGAAGGCCUUCGGGUUGUAAACCGCUUUUGUCAGGGAAGAAAUCUUCUGGGCUAAUACCCCGGGAGGAUGACGGUACCUGAAGAAUAAGCACCGGCUAACCACGUGCCAGCCGCCGCGGUAA
rnacentral:rRNA from 1 species